GUGCUUGCUUCAGCAGCACAUAUACUAAAACUGGAACAAUACAGAGAAAAUUAGCAUGGCCCCUGUGCAAGGAUGACAUACAAAUUCAUGAAGCAUUCCAUAGUUUU
ensembl:snRNA U6 U6 spliceosomal RNA